CCUCGUUGCUGGUACUAACUCGAGCGCCCCGACUGAGCGGGAGGAUCGCGGCAAGGGCUUAGCGUCCUAGCAGUAUCAGUUGAUAGCUUACUUUCCUACAUGUAUUAGUUCCACCCUGUUCUUACAUUAUGAGAGUAGAUGUUGUAUAGGGUGAGGUUUUGGAGAGUAUAUGAUGUAUUUUCAUUUUGGGAAAGAAUGCAAGUUGUAUUAAAUGAUUAAAGUUUAAAUGAUAUCGAAAGAGGUUAAAUGUUUAAAUGAUGUCUCAAAUAGUUAAGUUUCUCUCUUUUGAAUACUUGUAUACUGCUUACUUGUAUCGCUUGCUCUUGUUGUUUAUAGUACUGUUUGUGCUCUCGAUUAUCGCUGUAUGAUUGUGUAUGAAAUCAAGUUGUAUUCCUGGGGACUUGUUGUACACAUUGCAUCACGCACGCCGCCCUCGAAACGGACCAAAUUGGUACUGUUUUCUGGUAGUGCGGUCGGGGGCGUGACAGCUGUGGUAUCAGAGCGAGUUAAGAGCAAGCAAAAGAGAGGGUCUAGGAUGACCUAGGAGACUCUAGGUUGGUUAACCCUAAGGUUAUAGGUGCGUGAGUGCGACGUGAACCUAUGACGCGGCGGAAGCUAAUUGAUUGGGUUUGGAGUUGGUGUUGUUACUCUAGUUAUGUCUAGAGAUGAUCCAAGUGGUAUUAAUUUUUGGCUUAAGGCGAUUGGGUUGGCGGCCGACAACACGAUGCCGAAAGUCAAGAAUUAAGACACUUCCAAGUUACCGCCUGAUUGAUGUUGUUUAAUCGUUAUACUUCGUGUUUACGACGAUGUUGUUGAGUUAAGUAAUUAACCAACGGUUUGCGUUUCAGGAGCUAUGGCACCAAAGAGAUGCUACGUGCGUAGGACCGCUCCGGCACCACCUCGAGAGGUGCCCGAGCCAGCCGUGCCUCCUGUGGCGCCAGUGCCAGCAGUGCCUACUGAGGUGCAGGAGUUGCGAGCGCAAGUUGCGGCGCUCACUGGACGGUUCGAUAGGAUUCAAGAACUGCUGGAGCAGCAGGCUGCGGCAGCAGGUCCAGGCCGCGGUUCGCCUCCGCCAUCGGUUCGCGCCCCUAAUGCGGCCGAGGGUGUGGGUGGCGUUUCGGUUCCGAUGGCGGCGCAACCCCCACCGGUGGACAUUCCUCCGACGAGUUCGAGUUCUCCUACGCCCGCGGUAGUGGUUGAGGAGGCGGAGCGUGAGCGCGGCUAUGUGGCGCUCACGAGGUCCACGAAGUUUCGCCCGCCUACCUUCGACGGAGAGGUGGUGGAUCCAGCGGCGGUGGAGUCUUGGCUGACGGCUAUCGAGACUCUAUUUGAGGACAUUUUCACCUUGGAGAAAGACAAGGUGAACUUGGCCGCGCAUUGCUUUUAGAAGCGGGUCAGGACUUGGUGGAAGAGGGUCAAGCAGGACCGAUCCCCGGAGCUUUCCCCGAUCGAUUGGGCGGAGUUCCGCAAGCUGAUGUUCGCCGAGUACUUCCCCGAUAGUGAUAAGAGAAAAAUGCGGAAAGAUUUUCGCAAGCUCAAGCAAGGCAACCGCACUGUUCGGUAGUACGAGCGGGAGUUCACCCAACUGCUGAGCUGCGUCCCGGAUGUAGCGGCGACAGAGCAGGACCGGGCGGAUUGUUUUGUUCGGGGGCUACGGCCCGGAGUUUUCAAGUUGGUGCAUGCUUUUAAGUUCCACACUCUGGCGGGAGCACUAGAUCGCGCCCAAUGGGUCGAACACGGGAACGCCUGCGAGCGUGAGGACCGUGAGGCGUUCGACAAGGACAAGGGCAAGAAAAGACAGGGCGGUGGAUCGGGUGGCCAGUCGAGCUCCAGGAGGCCCCCGAAGUAUCCACGCUCACAGCCCAAGGGUCGGGGUGCUGAGCGGUGUGUUAUCUGCGGCGGUGACCACCGGCCGGGUGUGUGUGAUCAUCGCCGAGGGAGAGCUUCAAGUGCGGGCAAGCGGGACAUCAGAUCUGCGACUGUCCUCAGGGAGGAGCUUCGCCCGCUAUGUCCACUGCAUCGGCCCCGGCGGUUCCAGCUCGCUAUGCUCUGCCCCCUCCUGCAGCAUCUACUCGGCGAGCGGCGGCGCCACGCCAACCAGAGCCUGCACAAUCUGCACCGAGCAGGAGGAUGUAUGCCGCUCCAGUGCAUAUUGAGGAGCCUUCUGAUGCCGGCGAGCGCAACGUUUUGGCAGGUAUAAUUUUGAUUAAAGAUGUUCGAGCUAGAGCUCUAUUUGAUACAGGCGCAUCGCACUCAUUCAUUAGUCGGUCAUUUGCACGAGCGCAUGAUAUUGAGUAUCGUCUUGGGGAGCACGUUUGGCAUGUUGAGGGCCCCGAGCGAUCCUUUUUGGUUAGGAAGCGAUGCUUGGCAUGUCCAGUGCAAGUGAAUGACUGGGUUAUGCCGAUCGACUUGUUGGUGUUCAAGAAGUUGAAGGAAUUUGAUAUCAUAUUGGGCAUGGAUUGGCUCUUGAAGUAUUAUGUAUCGAUCGAUUGCCCGACUCGAGUUAUCACAUUUCGGGAGCCAGGACAGGAGGAGUUCACCUAUCGAGCUUGCCAGAGCUCGUGUUUCGCCGUGAUGGUAUCGGCGACAAGAGCGAGGAAGCUGGUGAACAGCGGUUGCAUGGCUUAUUUGGCGACCGUUGUGGAGAUUGACCGAGCGGUUCCAAUCCUCGAGGAGUUGGCGGUUGUGCGGGAGUUCCCCGACGUGUUUCCCGCGGAGUUACCGGGUAUGCCGCCAGACCGGGAGAUCGAGUUCAUGAUUGACUUGGUUCCCGGCACCGCGCCGAUUUCUAAGGCCCCGUAUCGCAUGGCGCCGGCCGAGCUAAGGGAGUUGAGAGAUCAAUUGCAGGAUCUUCUCGACAAGGAAUUCAUUAGGCCGAGCGUUUCGCCGUGGGGUGCCCCGGUAUUAUUUGUGCGCAAGAAAGAUGGAUCUUUUCGACUCUGCGUGGAUUACCGCGAGUUGAACAAGGUCACGGUGAAGAACAAGUACCCGCUACCCCGUAUUGAUGACUUGUUUGACCAGUUGCAGGGGUCGCGAGUGUAUUCGAAGAUUGACCUUCAGUCCGGCUAUCAUCAGUUAAAGAUCAAGCCGGAAGAUGUUCAGAAGACGGCGUUUCGCACGCGUUAUGGACACUACGAGUUCACAGUGAUGCCGUUUGGGCUCACGAAUGCCCCGGCAGCGUUCAUGAGCUUGAUGAACCGAGUGUUCCAGGAGUGCUUGGACCGAUUUGUCGUGGUCUUCAUAGACGACAUUUUGGUGUAUUCGCGUAGCGACGAGGAGCACGCGGAGCAUUUGCGCACGGUACUUCAGAUUUUUCGGGAGAAGAAGUUGUACGCAAAGCUGAAGAAAUGCGACUUUUGGCUUCGAGAGGUCGCGUUUCUCGGGCGUGUUAUUUCCGAGGGUGGAGUCUCAGUUGACCCGAGGAAAGUAGAGGCUAUUGAGAAUUGGCCGCGCCCGACGAAUGUAGCUGAGGUCCGUAGCUUUGUGGGCCUAGCAGGUUAUUACCGACGGUUUGUGGAGGGGUUCUCUAAGAUUGUGACUCCACUUACCCGUUUGACGCAAAAAGGCACCAAAUUCGUUUGGGGUGACGAGUGCGACCGGAGUUUUAAAAAGUUGAAGCAGAGGUUAACUUCGACUCCGGUGCUUGCCCUACCGGUGCAGGGACAGGACUAUGUCGUCUACAGUGAUGCUUCUUAUCUGGGCUUGGGGUGUGUGCUGAUGCAGGGCGGGAAGGUUAUCGCUUAUGCAUCCCGUCAGCUGAAAAGUUAUGAAAAGAACUACCCCAUUCACGAUCUAGAAUUGGCGGCGGUGAUCUUUGCCUUGAAGCUCUGGAGACAUUAUUUAUAUGGUGCUCAUUGCGAGAUCUACACCGACCAUAAGAGCUUGAAGUAUCUGUUCACACAGAAAGAGCUCAAUAUGCGUCAGCGGUGGUGAUUGGAGCUAUUGAAGGAUUAUGAUGUUUGUAUCCUUUACCACCCCGGGAAGGCAAAUAUGGUCGCGGAUGCGCUGAGUAGGAAGACGGCGGAGAAUCUCGCUUUUGAUGUUACCCAGCAAAAACCCCUAGGGUUGGAUAUGGAGCGAUUGGACCUUGAAGUGGUUGCUCCCGAGGUCCCGACUCAGUUGAUGGCACUCGUUGUCCAACCGACCUUGUUGGAAAGGAUCAAAGAUCUGCAACUGGCGGACCCAGAACUCCAAAAGGUGCGGCGAAACAUCGAGGAAGGUCAUAGCGGCGAGUUCAAUGUAGACGCCGAUGGUACGCUUCGGUUUCGGAACCGAAGGUGUGUACCUGCUGAUGAGGAGCUUCGCAAGCUUAUACUCCAGGAGUCACAUUGGUCCCCGUAUGCUGGUCACCCGGGCGGCACAAGAUGUAUCAGGGACUAAAAACACACUACUGGUGGCCGGGAAUGAAAGCCGACAUCGGACGCUUUGUGGCAAAGUGCUUAGCAUGCCAACAAGUGAAGGCCGAGCAUCGAUUUCCAGCGGGGAAGCUUCAAAGUUUACCUAUUCCCGUUUGGAAAUGGGAGGAUAUAUCGAUGGACUUCGUGGUCGGUUUACCUCGCUCAAAAGGCGGCCACGAUGCAAUUUGGGUAAUUGUGGACCGAUUGACGAAGUCGGCUCACUUCUUGCCGAUCCAUACCACGUGGUCGGGUGACAAGUUAGCGCAGGUAUAUCUUGACGAGAUAGUGAGACUGCAUGGGGUGCCGAAAUCGAUCGUGUCGGAUCGUGACCCCCGGUUCACUUCGCAUUUCUGGAAGAGCUUGCAGGAAGCCCUUGGCACACGGCUCGACUUUAGCACCGCGUUUCAUCCUUAGACCGAUGGACAAACAGAGAGAACUAUUCAAACUUUGGAGGAUAUGUUGCGAGUGUGUGUCAUUGAUUAUAAAGGAAGUUGGUGUGACCACCUACCGAUGGCCGAAUUCGCCUACAAUAAUAGUUAUCAUGCUAGUGUGGAGAUGGCACCGUUUGAGGCCCUCUAUGGACGGAUAUGUCGAUCUCCUAUACACUGGGGCGAUGUAGGUGAGCGUGCGGAGUUCGGCCCGGAUGUGUUGCGAGAAGCGGAAGAGAAAGUCCGCCUUGCUCGCAAAAGAUUGCUUACGGCACAGUCAAGACAGCAAAGCUAUGCGGAUAGACGCCGGCGAGAUUUAGAGUUCGCGGUGGGUGACCGCGUAUUCUUGAAGGUUUCGCCGAUGCGAGGCGUGAAGCGGUUUGGGGUGCGAGGAAAGCUGAGUCCUCGUUACAUUGACCCCUACGAGAUCUUGGAGCGAAUUGGGACGGUGGCGUAUCGACUUGCAUUGCCCCCGAAGCUUGCGGGUAUGCAUAAUGUCUUCCACGUCUCCAACCUUCGCAAGUAUAUUCACGCCCCCGAGCAUGCGAUGCUAUAUGAGCCGCCGGGACAUCAAGAUGAUGUGAGCUAUGAAGAGUUUCCGGUAGAGAUUUUGGCUCGAGAGGUGCGUAAGCUAAGGAAUCGAGAAAUUUCCUAUGUUAAAGUUUGGUGAAGCAAUCACGGCGAUCGCGAAGCCACUUGGGAACUCGAGGACCAGAUGAAAGCGAAUCAUCCUUACUUAUUUGAGGAUUGAGGUAAGAGUUCAAGUUCGAUUUACGAGUUAGUUGUUUCGAGGACGAAACUCCUUUUAAGGGGUGGAGAAUGUAAGAUAUCAAAAUUUGACGACGUUGGCUAACUUUGGCCAAAUGGGCCAAAGUAGGCGAUUAAACGAUUUGGACAAGUUCCAUUCGGCGUUCCGACAAAUUUGGAAGAGCAAAAAUGAGUUCUAAAGGUGUUGGAAUGGGUUUGACAUCGAUCGGUGCGAAGUGGAGCCGAAACAAAGUUAAAACAGCAUUCUGGAGCUGCUGUACCGGUACAAGGGUGAUGGCUGUACCGGUACAGCCAUCGCAGCAGGCUGCGUAGCUCUCGGGUUUGAGGGCUUCAGGUGUUGUACCGGUACAAGGGGCUUGUACCGGUACAAGCUCUGCGAAACCGAGAACCCGAGCUCUCGGGUUGCGCUUGGUCUGGCUGUUUCCCAGACCUUGUACCGGUACAAGGUCCUGUGUACCGGUACAAGGGCACACGAACAGCAGGACUGUUUUGGAAAGAUGGUAAAUAGAGGGGCUUUUUGGCAUUUUGUUUCAAUAGAGGACUUAAACACCUCUCUCUCAGCCUCUCUCUCUCCUCAACUCACUCUCUCUCUACUCUCUCUCUCUCUAGCCGAAUAGAAGGAGAAGACGGAGAAAAGGAAAAGAGAAGGAAAAAGAAGGAAAAAGAGAGGAAGAAAAUGAAGGAGAAGAAGGAGAAGAAGGAGAAAAAGAUUUGGGAGCUCUUCUUCACCUCAUCCUUGGCUUUGGAGCAAACCCUGGAGGUAAGCCUCAACCCCUUUCAUGGUAUCUUGGGUUUUUAUAAGGUUUGGUGGGUUUUAAUGGUUCAAAUAGAACCUCUUGAGUUUAGAGAACAUGGAUUUAGCUCACAUUGAAGUUAUAAUCCAUAGCUUCUCAUGGAUCCUAACCCUAGGGUUAGAUUUUGGGGAUUUUGCAAAUAUUAGGGUUUGAUCUCUUUUGAGGGGUUAGAAACCUAAUUCCUAUGCUUAUUAACGCGUAGGCGAAGACGGUUCGUCGAUACGAGAAUCGAGCGCGAAGAUAUCGCCAUUUGAAGUGCUAAAGGGUUAAAGCUAACCCAACAAAAAUUAAGCGGCGACAAGACAAGCACGAGAGCGCGUCUCGGAGUGUUUUCGGCAUCACCUAAGGUGGGGGAGUGCCAUCCCGAAGUCAUCGGGCUACUCAUUAUGUCUAAGUUUAAAUACGACCAAGUUGCAUAUUGUGCAUGUUCUUAUAGGGUUAAAGAUUAAUUAUAUUGCUUCAAGUUGCAUGCUAGUAGCUAUAGAUAUGGUUGAUUGAAUGAAUUAUAAACUAGUAUGCAUGAGAUUAAAUGAUAGAGCUUAACGAUGAGAUUUAACCCUAUAUGAGAUGAUUAGAACUUAUAAUGUUAAAGAACUAACAUUGUUGAUGAGUCUAAAUGACGAGUGGCAUCUAGUUAGAAAACUAUGACUGAGUGGCAUAUGUUUGAUGUUUACUUGAGAUGAUCUUAUUAGUGUGGUUGAGACACUAUGAGAUUGGGUACAAGAACUUAUUGAUUGAUGCUAAUAUUACCCUCAAAGGGUUGUUGUUGCUCGUGAGUUGAUCACGCUCACAUUGCCUGUCUGCGCUUGGUGGGGUCGCUCCCCUCAAGUUGUGCGCUCCGGAGUUGGUCACUAGAGAGGCAGCCUGCUUGCUGCUCGGAUAGCCGCUUGUUAUCCGCAGGCGUACUCGGGGAUAGUCCAGUUAGGCAUCCCUCGGAGGUUGACAUGUGAGCCUUGCUUGCGAACCUUGUGUUCACUUGGGGAUUGGGUUACCCAUUGAGUCUUACCCAUGAUUGAUGUUUAUAGUAGCUAUUCAUUGUUCAUAGUAGCUCAUUUGCUUUCCUAUUAGCAUGUUUUAUAGCUUACUACGAUAGCUGAUGUAAAUGUUCAUAGUUACUUACUUACCCAGCUUUAUUUAUUGCUCAUGCAUCCAUGAUAUCAGAUUGAGGCAUAGCUUGAUAUACCUGUUUCACAUACCUGCUUUCCGUUCAGCUUAGUUUUAUAUAUAUUGGAUAUAUAUAUAUAUAUAUAUAUAUCUCUAUGCCUGCUUAAGACCUAGUGGGUAGAUCGGCGGAGUCAGUGGCCGAACCCACUGGGAACUAUUCGUAGUUCUCACACCCUCGUUGCAGGUACUAACUCGAGCGCCCCGACUGAGCGGGAGGAUCGCGGCAAGGGCUUAGCGCCCUAGCAGUAUCAGUUGAUAGCUUACUUUUCUACAUGUAUUAGUUCCACCAUGUUCUUACAUUAUGAGAGUAGUGUUGUAUAGGGUGAGGUUUUGGAGAGUAUAUGAUGUAUUUUCAUUUUGGGAAAGAAUGCAAGUUGUAUUAAAUGAUUAAAGUUUAAAUGAUAUCGAAAGAGGUUAAUGUUUAAAUGAUGUCUCAAAUAGUUAAGUUU
rnacentral:lncRNA from 1 species